rnacentral:rRNA from 1 species
AGCAGCCGCGGUAAUUCCAGCUCCAAUAGCGUAUAUUAAAGUUGUUGCAGUUAAAAAGCUCGUAGUUGAACUUCGGGAUCAAGGAAUCGGUCAUGCCUUGGUAUGUACUGGUUUUAUUGGUUCUCACCUUCUAAAGAACCAUAAUGUCAUUCAUUUGAUGUUAUGGGGAAUUAGGACUGUUACCUUGAAAAAAUUAGAGUGUUUAAAGCAGGCUUACGCUUGAAUACAUUAGCAUGGAAUAAUGAAAUAGGACAUCCGAUUCUAUUUUGUUGGUUUCUAGGAUCGAUGUAAUGAUUAAUAGGGAUAGUUGGGGGCAUUAGUAUUCAAUUGUCAGAGGUGAAAUUCUUGGAUUUAUUGAAGACUAACUACUGCGAAAGCAUUUGCCAAGGAUGUUUUCAUUAAUCAAGAACGAAAGUUAGGGGAUCGAAGACGAUCAGAUACCGUCGUAGUCUUAACCAUAAACUAUGCC